rnacentral:siRNA from 1 species
CAUCUACGAGCACGGCAAGCGGG